GUGGGGAAUAUUGGACAAUGGGCGAAAGCCUGAUCCAGCCAUGCCGCGUGUGUGAAGAAGGUCUUCGGAUUGUAAAGCACUUUAAGUUGGGAGGAAGGGCAGUAAGUUAAUACCUUGCUGUUUUGACGUUACCGACAGAAUAAGCACCGGCUAACUUCGUGCCAGCAGCCGCGGUAAUACGAAGGGUGCAAGCGUUAAUCGGAAUUACUGGGCGUAAAGCGCGCGUAGGUGGUUUUGUAAGUUGGAGGUGAAAUCCCCGGGCUCAACCUGGGAACUGCCUCCAAAAAUGCAUGACUAGAGUACGGUAGAGGGUAGUGGAAUUUCCUGUGUAGCGGUGAAAUGCGUAGAUAUAGGAAGGAACACCAGUGGCGAAGGCGACUACCUGGACUGAUACUGACACUGAGGUGCGAAAGCGUGGGGAGCAAACAGGAUUAGAAACCCUAGUAGUCC
rnacentral:rRNA from 1 species